rnacentral:rRNA from 1 species
AUGGACGAUGACCUGUGUGGAAAAUAUGGACGCGGCAAGUGGAUAAAAGCAAAUAUGGACGCUGCUAAGUGGAUCCUAGAGACUGUGAACAUGAGUUUAUGCUACAGCAAGCCCUGGCCGUCGCUGGGUUUUUUACAGCCUAUCCUUAUAAAUGCACCAGAUUCCAAACUCAGAAUCCUUGAAGUCCGCAUGUCCUGCUUGAAGAGAAUUGAGGUGCUCUGCCUACCAAAACUGAAGCAUCUAUAUUGGGACGAGUGGUAUUGUUUUGAGGCCCCCUUGCGUUUUGGUUCUGUUCCAUCCCUCAAGGGUUUGUGCCUUAUUUGUUGUGCAACCAUUGAUCAUCAAGAGUUUUGUCUAAGCCAGGUUCUACAUGGUACCAGAAACAUCCAUACUCUUACUUUGGACUUCCAGGGAGAAAGGCUUUGGAUACAGCCCGAAGGAAAGCAACUCUGCCCUGCAUUCAGAAGGCUAAGAAAGUUGUCUAUUUGUGGCAUCUUUGUUGAUUUUGACUUGUUGUGGACAAUAAAUCUCCUUGAAGCUGCUCCAUCCAUUGAGAUAUUUUCUGUGCGGAUAUGGGACCAUGCUUGCCAAGAUGAUGAGCAGUUAAGAACAACGACAGAGCAACAAAUUUCAUUUGUAAGGUCCGUGAUGGAGCGAGCUUCAAACUUGAAGACGGUUCUUCUCAAAGAAGAUAAAGAUCCAUGCGAGGACUGCGAUUCAAUGAACACUCCAAGAGGAGGUUUCUGUCCGGCGGACAAAGGUGAGCAGGAAACAAUCGUCAGGCAGCUUACAGGUGGGGUCCAGUCCUCUGCACAAAUAAAUUUUCCAAACAGUGGUGGUAGUUGA